CGGUCCCUAUCUGCCGUGGGCGUUUGAGAGUUGAGAGGAGCUGCUCCUAGUACGAGAGGACCGGAGUGGACGAACCUCUGGUGUUCGGGUUGUCACGCCAGUGGCAUUGCCCGGUAGCUACGUUCGGAAUCGAUAACCGCUGAAAGCAUCUAAGCGGGAAGCGAGCCUCAAGAUAAGCUGUCACUAGCACUUAGAGUGCUCUGAAGGGUUGUUGGAGACUACAACGUUGAUAGGCGGGGUGUGGAAGCGUAGUAAUGCGUUGAGCUAACCCGUACUAAUUGCCCGUGAGACUUAACCA
rnacentral:rRNA from 1 species